AUGCCCCAAAAUGUAACCAUCAGCACCUGUGAGCUGGAGUGGGCCGGCUCCAGCACCAUCGUCAGGAUAGUAACCCUGGUCCCUGCCGGGACCAUCCCACCAGGACUCCGCCUACCAACCGAAAUGCUUGAUGGGAGAACCCACACGCCCAGAACUAGAGACAGUGAGCCUCACACUUGCUCAGACACACAGAAAAGCCGAGUCUGGGCAUCGGAAGAACUGCCACUCUGCCAUCAGAGACACCGGAGACUACAGAGGCUACAAGCAGCACACUAUCAAAUGUCAAGGAAAAAGAGCACCAGAAUACACAUGGGAGAAACACGUUUUCUGGAAGAGAGAGAUUUUCUCUAGAAGCCAGGCAAAGGGAAGACCCAAUACCAAGCAAGGAGCAGACACUGAAAAACACACUCAAAAAACAAGGUGAGACUACUUAUGACUGAAAUAGGUUUGUACUUGUUGGUGUUUUUUUCAGUCAAUAUAAAAUACUCUAUUUGUUCUUUUGGUCUUUGGUUCUACCUCAUCAUGUAUUAUCAGUCAACUUUCUUGUUAUUGCUUGCAUGUGUUUUCAUUCCUUUAUUGUCCAUCUUCCUAUGUCACUUUGUUUCAGAUGUUCUCCUUAUAAAAGCACAUCUCCUGUUGUUGAUCCUUAUUGUGUUGAUAUUUUAUAAUGGCCUUUUUGAUUCCCUUUAGAGAUGUAUCCUUUGGGGUUUAGAUGGGCUCUUAAUCCUGGUUAAAUUACUUGCUUGGCGUAAUGACCUUAAAGCAGUUGCUUUAGCUUUUGUCUAUUUUUAUGUGGGCUCAGCCCUUGUAAUAGCUAACUCUCUAGAAAGCAGGGGUGCACCUAAAAGUUCCUUCACUUGCUAUCCAUUUUUGAUGGGGUUCCAGCAGAAGUGAGUGACCCCCCAUUGUUUCUAAAGCAUCCCAAAGUCAUCCUACACCAAAGGCAUCCCUCCUCUUGGUGUGUAUGUUUGUCUCUGCUCUUUGGGUAGUUGACAAGCUUUAGGGAGCACAGUGAGUUCUUCCUUCUGGGCUGGAUUUACCCCCGGUGGAGGACCAUAUUCUACGUCAGAGCUUAGAUUUGUGGUAGCAUAUCCUUCAUUUCAUUUUUGAGGUCUGAUCCAUCAAUGCAUAACAUUAGGCUGAGGUUCUCAGUAGGAGUCUCUAGUAAACCUAAGCAAAGUACAGAGGGUUUCCAAACUGAGGUACAACCACGUUGAGGCUCCCUUUCUUGUAGGGGCAGGAUUUGGCUGUUGCAGUGGUGCAUGGUAACGUGAGAAGGAGAGAGGAAUAGAAUUUCCCAAGAGGUUAAUCAGGGGCUGCAAAGUGCUGUGGGUUCUCAGUUGGUCAUAAUGUCUGUACUGCAUGUGGAGCCACAGGUCAAGUGGGGAGCCUAGAACAGGUUCAGCAGAAACAUCAACAAGUUUUGAAGUGGCAGCUGUUGCCCUGAGUCACAUCUUUGCUUCUGAGUCACAGAUAAGGUUAUGCUAAGCAGUCCCAUGGAGUUGAGUUAAAACCCCAAGGGCUUGUUCAUAUCACUCACACACAAAUGGAUGAAACAGCUUUUGGUGGUUAGGGAUGCCUGGGGAGGGAGGCUGUUGAAGAGCCUCCUCAGGUUGUGGACACCGGUUCAUGUUUGAGUUCUCAGAACAGAGCCUUUUCACGAGACUUUGUCAAUUCAUAAAAGAGGUGUUGCUAUCUCAGAAAAAUUCGGCACCUGUCGUCUGAAAAAUCCAGUGAAACCUAGAAACCCUUUCGGAGUUCCUGUUGUGGUGCAGUGGUUAACGAAUCCGACUAGGAACAUGAGGUUGCGGGUUUAGUCCCUGGCCUUGCGCAGUGGGCUAAGGAUCUGGCAUUGCUGUGAGCUGUGGUGUAGGUUGCAGAUGUGGCUCAGAUCCCACGUUGCUGUGGCUCUGGCGUAGGCCGGUGGUUACAGCUCCAAUUAGACCCCUAGCCUGAGAAACCUUCAUAUGCUGCAGGAGCAGCCCUAGAAAAGGCAAAAAGACAAAAAGACAAAAAAAAAAAAAAAAAAAAAAAAAAAAAACCCCUCUCAAUUGUAAGAUAUGUUUGAAGAGCCUUCAGUUCAUCAGGAGAGAAGGAUUUUGCAUCUUAAAUAGAUCAUGCCUUAACUAAUAAACUGUUUGGUCAAACUUAAAUUCA
rnacentral:lncRNA from 1 species